rnacentral:rRNA from 1 species
UACGUAGGGUGCGAGCGUUGUCCGGAAUUAUUGGGCGUAAAGAGCUCGUAGGCGGUUUGUCGCGUCGACUGUGAAAACUGGGGGCUUAACUCUCAGCUUGCAGUUGAUACGGGCAGACUUGAGUUCGGUAGGGGAGACGUAGGAAUUCCUGGUGUAGCGGGUAGAAAUGCGCAGAUAUCAGGAGGAACACCGGUGGCGAAGGCGGGUCUCUGGGCCGAUACUGACGCUGAGGAGCGAAAGCGUGGGGAGCGAACGGG